rnacentral:rRNA from 1 species
GAUGAACGCUGGCGGCGUGCCUAAUACAUGCAAGUCGAGCGAACAGACGGGGAGCUUGCUCCUCUGACGUUAGCGGCGGACGGGUGAGUAACACGUGGAUAACCUACCUAUAAGACUGGGAUAACUUCGGGAAACCGGAGCUAAUACUGGAUAAUAUAUUGAACCGCAUGGUUCAUUAGUGAAAGACGGUUUUGCUGUCACUUAUAGCUGGAUCCGCGCCGCAUUAGCUAGUUGGUAAGGUAACGGCUUACCAAGGCAACGAUGCGUAGCCGACCUGAGAGGGUGAUCGGCCACACUGGAACUGAGACACGGUCCAGACUCCUACGGGAGGCAGCAGUAGGGAAUCUUCCGCAAUGGGCGAAAGCCUGACGGAGCAACGCCGCGUGAGUGAUGAAGGUCUUCGGAUCGUAAAACUCUGUUAUUAGGGAAGAACAAAUGUGUAAGUAACUAUGCACGUCUUGACGGUACCUAAUCAGAAAGCCACGGCUAACUACGUG